rnacentral:lncRNA from 1 species
CUGUCAUGACCAUAGCGCAAUAUUUGUUAAGACUUAUAAAAAGAUAUUUCUAAAAAAACAACUUUCCAGCUGGGUUCUUAACAUUGUUCUUUCAUUUUAUGGAAGUGAUAACCAUUCUGGAUGGAAUACACUGAAAUGUUUGAAAAGACUUGUAUGAAGAUACUCCUAAAUAGCUACAAGCAAUCUGGUUACACCACAGUGUUCUUUCAUUUAAUAAACUUUAUAUAUAUUCUCCUAUAGCUGUAGUGAAAUGUUUUAUAUCAUAUAUGAAAAUGUUCCUACAGCUACCUGCAAGCUGGGAUCAGCACACUGACUUUUCAUUGUAAUAAAGUGAUAGUUACUUUGUAUGGCAUACACUGAAAUGUCAGAAAAGACUUAUAUGAGUGUAUUUCUAAAGAGAUACAAGCAAGCUGGUUUCACAAUAGUGAUCUUUCAUUGAAUUAAUGUAAUAGAUAUUCUGUCGCACAUGUUGUGAAAUUUUCAAUAAAUCUUACAUGAAAAUGUUACUAUAAGUCUACCUGAAAGCUGAGUUAAGUACAAUGUUUUUUCAUUUUAAGAAAGUAUAGCUGUUCUCUAUGGCUCAUACUGAAAUGCGAGAAAAGACUUACGUGAAGAUGUUCCUUAAAAGCUACAAGGAAGUUGGUUUCACCACAGCAUUCUUUCAAUGUGUGAAUGUUAUCGAUAUUCCAUCAUGCCCGUAGUGAAAUGUUUGAUAGGACUUAUUUGAAGAUUCCCCUAAACAGCUGCAAGCAAGGUGUUUUCACCACAGUGUUCAUUCAGAAAAUGAAUGUUAUACGUAUUCUGUCAUGCCUCAAGAGAACUAUUUGAUGUCUUAUGUGAGAGUGUUCCUGAACAGCUACAAGCAAGCUUUUUCAACAUAGUGUGUGGUUUCCUUGAAUGAAUGUUAUGGAUAUCAUGUUGCGGCUGUAGAGAAACGUUUGAUAAGACAUAAAUGAAAUGCUCAUAAAGAGCCACUGGUUUCAUCAGAACGUUCUUUCUGGAUAUGGAAGUGAUAGCCAUUCUGUAGGCAUAAUGAAGUGUUUGAAGAGCCUUAUACGAAGACAUUCCCAAGGCGCCAGAAGUAAUCUGGCUUCACCACAGUGUUCUUUCAGUGAACGAGUGUUAUAGCUAGUCUGUCAUGCCUGUAGUGAAAUGUUU